rnacentral:rRNA from 1 species
AUACGGAGGAUGCAAGCGUUAUCCGGAUUUAUUGGGUUUAAAGGGUGCGUAGGCGGUUUGCUAAGCGGGAGGUGAAAUGCCGGCGCUCAACGUCGGAAGUGCCUCCCGAACUGGUGGACUGGAAUGACUCUGCCGUGGGAGGAAUGUGUAGUGUAGCGGUGAAAUGCUUAGAGAUUACACAGAACACCGAUUGCGAAGGCAUCUCACGAAGGGUUGAUUGACGCUGAGGCACGAAAGCGUGGGGAUCAAACAGGAUUAGAUACCCUGUUAGUCCACGCAGUAAACGAUGAUGGCUAACCGCUGGUUUAUUCGGAUCAGUGGCCAAGCGAAAGCGAUAAGCCAUCCACCUGGGGAGUACGACCGCAAGGUUGAAACUCAAAGGAAUUGACGGGG